rnacentral:tRNA from 1 species
GAAUUAUUAUGCCCCCCCCCUUAAGCUGCUAACUUAAACUGAAAUGGUUAAAUUCCAUUUAUAAUUCU